rnacentral:rRNA from 1 species
GAGUCUUAACCGGGCGUUAAGUUGCAGGGUAUAGACCCGAAACCCGGUGAUCUAGCCAUGGGCAGGUUGAAGGUUGGGUAACACUAACUGGAGGACCGAACCGACUAAUGUUGAAAAAUUAGCGGAUGACCUGUGGCUGGGGGUGAAAGGCCAAUCAAACCGGGAGAUAGCUGGUUCUCCCCGAAAGCUAUUUAGGUAGCGCCUCGUGAAUUCAUCUCCGGGGGUAGAGCACUGUUUCGGCUAGGGGGCCAUCCCGGCUUACCAACCCGAUGCAAACUGCGAAUACCGGAGAAUGUUAUCACGGGAGACACACGGCGGGUGCUAACGUCCGUCGUGAAGAGGGAAACAACCCAGACCGCCAGCUAAGGUCCCAAAGUCAUGGUUAAGUGGGAAACGAUGUGGGAAGGCCCAGACAGCCAGGAUGUUGGCUUAGAAGCAGCCAUCAUUUAAAGAAAGCGUAAUAGCUCACUGGUCGAGUCGGCCUGCGCGGAAGAUGUAACGGGGCUAAACCAUGCACCGAAGCUGCGGCAGCGAACGUAUCACCCAAGACAACUUUACGGAGUUGACGAUUGACGGAGCGAAGCGACGUCAAAGCGUUCAUUAAAGUCGAGUUGGCUUAGGGAUACGUUCGUUGGGUAGGGGAGCGUUCUGUAAGCCUGUGAAGGUGUGUCGUGAGGCAUGCUGGAGGUAUCAGAAGUGCGAAUGCUGACAUAAGUAACGAUAAAGCGGGUGAAAAGCCCGCUCGCCGGAAGACCAAGGGUUCCUGUCCAACGUUAAUCGGGGCAGGGUGAGUCGACCCCUAAGGCGAGGCCGAAAGGCGUAGUCGAUGGGAAACGGGUUAAUAUUCCCGUACUUGGUGUUACUGCGAAGGGGGGACGGAGAAGGCUAUGUUGGCCGGGCGACGGUUGUCCCGGUUUAAGCGUGUAGGUGUGUGUUCCAGGUAAAUCCGGUUCACUUUAACACUGAGGCGUGACGACGAGGCACUACGGUGCUGAAGCAACAAAUGC